rnacentral:lncRNA from 1 species
AAUGAUAUGAACUUGAUGUUGGGUAAAAAAUUUUAAAUGAAAAAGUAUAAUUAUUUUCGAACUCUUCCACUCACUGAGCUAUAAAUCCAUAUUUUUUCAUGAUUUUUCUUAUAGGUAGUAUUGGUCUCUAAUACUUUGAGAAGCCUGGUGUUUUAGAAUUAGAGCCACGCGACAUAUUGAGUGAUACAAUUCAUUUUGGUAAAACAUGAAGUAAUCGUUUCGGACCCAUUGUAUUAUAUUUUUCAUAAAUAUUUGAUUUCGGCGCAUAUUUUGUAGUAAGUCAUAGCCAGCCUUGGUGAUGGAUCUGACACAAGUCAGCACCUAUUAUCGGUGCACGUCACGUUCCUAAUCUAUUAGGGUGAUUCGGGACGGGGCGUGUUACCUUAUGACUAUCAAUUAAGCAAUUUUUAUCAAUUUAGAAGGAGAUUGACAUAGUAGUAAAAUUUCAAUUUAAAAUUGAAGUAAUCCAAUUGAAACUAAAUUGCGGUAAGUGAUCAUACUAAGCCAAAUUAAGUUUAAUGACCCAAUUGUGAUUUCACUAAAAGUGACCACAAGUGAAAUUUGAGAAAUGAUAUUCAUAAUCGUUAACUACAUUAGUCGCCCUACAUUCCUAUAUGACAGUUUGUGAUUUCAUAUAUUAAUGUGGGAGUUUUUUCUUGUCUCGUAUAUCAAAUCACUAACCACCACAUAUAAGCGACGUAGGAUGACUGCAACAAUGAGUGACUGCAAAUAGCAUUACCCUCAUUCAGUAGAAAAACUUAUAUAUCUACAAGAAUUAAAGAAAAUUGUUAUCCUCUCUUGCUUGGCUCCUUCCAUCACCAAUAAUAAACCUCUAAAGGGUAUAGUACUUUUCCACAUCAUUGUGCUUGUAUUUCUCCUUUUCUAUUUUUCUCAGGCUCACAUUUCUGCUUUUGUCAAUUUCAUUUCACUACUAAAAACACAUGGUUUUAGGCACGGAUUUUUUGUUCCCGAAAUCUCGAUAUUCAUUUCUAUUACUCUUUAUCAACGGAAUAUUUGCAACCGCAAAUCCAUUGCUAAUUUGAGGGUCGCUGAUAGUUAUCAACGGAUCCUAUCGUAGGUAAAAAGUAAACAUUUUACCAAAAAAAAUUUCAUUGAUAAAGUGUGAAUUUUUUACCAACAAAAUUUUCAUUGGUAAAAAUUUUAAUCAAUACCAACCUACUUUUCGUUGAUAAAUGUCUACCCUUACAAUUAGUAAAAAUCAAUAUUGUAAUUAGCCGUAUAGGUGUGAGGCAUGGAAAAAAAAAUUUAUCUAUUUUUUAUUAUUGUUAUUAUUAUUUAUUUAAUAAUUCUAAUUUUUUAACUUUUAGCUAACCAAAUUGGAAGGCCAAAAUAUUGUUUAACCACUUAUUGGACCACAAAUUAAUUUAUAGAGGGCAACUCCGAAGAUUUUGUUGUAAACUUUCGAUGUGGGAUAAGUGAAUUACUUUUACCAACGGAUAAUCCAUUUCUAAUUACCAACGAAAUAUCAGUAGGUGAAAUAUCCAAAUGUUAAAUGAUUACAUGAGGCACAAAAUAUCCAUUAAUAAAGAGAUAUCAUCUUUGAAAAUCCGUUGAUGAUUAUCGUAAUUCAAAGUGAAUUACUUUACCAACGGAUAAUCCGUUUCUAAUUAUCAACGGAUUGCAUCUGUUGAUAAUAUUCGAUACGUCACCUACGAAUAUUCCGUAGGUGAAAUAUCCAAAUGUUAAACGGUUACAUGAGGCAUAGAAUAUUCAUUGGUAAAAAGAUAUCAUCGUUACCAAUGGAAAAUCCGUUGUUGAUUAUCGCAAGUGAAAGUAAAUAACUUUUAUCAACGGAUAAUCUAUUUCUAAUUAUCAACGAAUUGCAUUCGUUGGUAAUUUUUCAUAGGUAAAAAGCUGCUUUUUAGUAGUGUUUCUUUUAUGGGUAUUUUUCUUACGAGAAAUCUGCACCGGCAUUCUCGUAUGGAUAUGAGAUUUCAAUAAUGCAUUUGAGGUAGUAAAUUUUGAUUAAUUUCAUUGUUUCUUUUUGCAUCUUUGGUGAAAUUUUUAAGUAAGAUUGCAAUUUUUUUGCUUCAUGAGGCUGAAAAAUGUGGAAUUUUAUUCAUGUUAUUGACUAGCAAUUCAAUGGUCUUUUGUCAAAAUUUAUUCUUUUUCAAGAAGAAAAGUAGUUCACGAAAUUCAUUUUCCUAUCAUAUUUUGUCUAGUUCCGUGGUUCUUUUGAGUACUGGGAGAAGAAAAUCUUCUCGACAGAUUCCAAAUGCCAUGAAAAGACAUUAAAAGUGGAUAAGUUGGUGGCAGAGAUUUUUUCUUGAGGAUGAUGAGAACUAGCUUGCUUUGAAGGAUAAGGAUAUGUUUGAGGGUGUGGAAUCGGAGGAGGGCUCCAGUGGUGAUGAAUUCUCUGAGAACAAAAAGUUUGAGGAGUGGAAAAGCCAGUUGAGGCGAUCAUAGAGUUAAGGGAAGCACAAGAGAAUGCAAAGAAUAAUGAGAAUAGAAGGUGGGAGGACUGGCUUGUGAAUGGAACUAAUGGUGCAUCAUGGGUUCAAGAAUUCAAUGGCACAGUUGGAGAACCUUUAAAUGAUGUGGGAGAAGAUUUUAGUGAGCUAAUUUCUGGUAGAGGAUUGAUUAAGUCAGUAAGGGAGUUGUUUCAAUGCAGAGAAGAUGACGACAUUCCGUAUGAAGAACAUAUCUUCCGUUAUGCUUCAUUCAAUUCGGCAAGUGACUUCAUGACAAUUUUUUAAAUAUCUAAUUUGCUUUCACGCAUUAAAUUAAAUUCUUAUUUAUGUUAUAAUUUAUCAUUAUCAAUCUCAAUCUUUGAUUCCUUGAUCAUGAAUUAUUAUAGCACGAUAAUUGACUGAUAUCGAAUCAAUUGCUAAACUCAAGUUUGUAAGACCAUCAACUGGACAAUCAGCUUUCUGCACAGUGACACCACGCCUUUCAGUGUGGAAAGUAUACUUCAAGUAAAAAAAUUGUCGUACUAUACUAUGACAUUUGAAGCAUUAUGAACAAAAGCUGAGAUGAAGCAAGCAUCUUUGUUUAACCUUUAUAUAAGAUUGAACGUGUAUUUCUAUGUUUUGACCGGCUAAAUUUUUGGCCAUACUUGUUAUUGUUCCAUAGGCUAUGGAUUUCUUGGUUCACGACUAAGUUCUUAUGCAAUUUCUGGAAGGAUGAUAAUUGACACACAAUUAAUGCAUUUUGAGUUCUUUUUGGAUCAGUUGGAAUAAGCUACUUAUCUAAAUUACCUUGUAUCAACGUGGGAAUGAUUUUCUUUGGAUAAUUUCAUUAUUAAUAACCCUACGUUGUAUACUUAAAGAAGAGUUUUGUAUCAAGGGCAUCUAAGAAAGAUCUUAGUUCUGUUACAGUUUAAAAAGCCAAUCGUUGCUUUCAUUUUUGUCGAAAUGUCAAUCGAAUUAUAUAGAAUAUCAGCAUUUUAAACAAUAGUACUUUAAGGGGCUUGUUUGUCUAAUUUUAUGAAAGUGCAUCUUCUAGUUAGAAGAGUUUUAAGAGAAAAUUGGUUCAAUGUGACUUCCUCUAAGAGUGCUAGGGAAAUAAGAAGCUCUUUUAAAAAUUAAUUUCCAAAUAUAAAUUAAGUAGCUUUCUAAGGAAGCUCUUCUACGAGGAGCAAAAGCAAAAGUAAAAGGGGUGCCAAACGGGACCUUAAGUCCAUUUGUGCUGAGAG